rnacentral:rRNA from 1 species
UACGGAGGGUGCGAGCGUUGUCCGGAAUCACUGGGCGUAAAGGGCGCGUAGGCGGCCUGAUAAGUAGGGGGUGAAAUCCUGUGGCUUAACCGCAGGGCUGCCUUCUAAACUGUCAGGCUGGAGCACAGUAGAGGCAGGUGGAAUUCCCGGUGUAGCGGUGGAAUGCGUAGAGAUCGGGAAGAACAUCAGUGGCGAAGGCGGCCUGCUGGGCUGUUGCUGACGCUGAGGCGCGACAGCGGUGGGGAGCAAACAGG